rnacentral:rRNA from 1 species
GAUGAACGCUGGCGGCGUGCCUAACACAUGCAAGUCGAACGGACUCAUACUGAAACCUAGUGAUUUAUGAGUUAGUGGCGGACGGGUGAGUAACGCGUGGAUAACCUGCCGUAUACCGGGGGAUAACACUUAGAAAUAGGUGCUAAUACCGCAUGAGCGCACAGCUCCGCAUGGGGCGGUGUGAAAAACUCCGGUGGUAUACGAUGGAUCCGCGUCUGAUUAGCCAGUUGGCGGGGUAACGGCCCACCAAAGCGACGAUCAGUAGCCGGCCUGAGAGGGUGAACGGCCACAUUGGAACUGAGACACGGUCCAA